rnacentral:pre_miRNA from 1 species
ACAUGUAGGGCUUGAACCAAAGCCCACUAAAGUCAAUGGGAGUCUUUCCAUUGACUCCAGUGGGCUUUGGAUCUGAUCCUUAAAGGU